UACAGAGGUCCCAAGCGUUGUUCGGAUUCAUUGGGCGUAAAGGGUGCGUAGGCGGCGCGGUAAGUCGGGUGUGAAAUCUCGGGGCUUAACUCCGAAACUGCAUUCGAUACUGCCGUGCUUGAGGACUGGAGAGGAGACUGGAAUUUACGGUGUAGCGGUGAAAUGCGUAGAUAUCGGAGGAACACCGGUGGCGAAGGCGGUUCUCUGGGCCUGACCUGACGCUGAGGAGCGAAAGCGUGGGAGCGAACAGG
rnacentral:rRNA from 1 species